AAGAGGUCUUAAGAUGCACCUGCUGACCUGCUGAUAGUUUGGGGAAAGAAGUGUCUGAUGCUACACUUGCUACAUGGUUGGGGGCUUAUCAAAGCCCCCAUAGGGGAGAGCAGGAGAUCCGCACAGGCGCAGGCGGAAACUAUCAGCUCCUGGGAGAGGACCACGCAGACAGAGUAGGGGAAACAGCCCUGGGGCUCCCACUCAGGAAGCUUUUCUCCUCUCGUUGGUUGAGAACGAAUAGAGUGUAACCAUCACCUGGGACAGUGGGGAAUGUUUUACUCAGUAAGCCCAACAAAGCUUCAAGACAAAAACCCAAAAGACCAAAGUUUGCAAAUGAGUUUCCUGCUAGCCACCUCAAGACACAUAUACUGUUGAGCAGCAGAAUACCCUAGGAGUGACACAGCAGUGGACCAGAGUAUCUUCAAUGCAGACUGAACUUUGGAAACUAGAAGGCGUUUCAGAGCUUGUUUGCAGCGUUCUGUCAAUUUUCUACUGUACAGCAAGGUGACCCCGUCACACAU